UGGGGAAUAUUGGACCAUGGGGGAAACCCUGAUCCAGCAAUGCCGCGUGAGUGAAGAAGGCCUUAGGGUUGUAAAGCUCUUUCGCCCGCGAAGAUAAUGACGGUAGCGGGAGAAGAAGCCCCGGCUAACUCCGUGCCAGCAGCCGCGGUAAUACGGAGGGGGCUAGCGUUGUUCGGAAUUACUGGGCGUAAAGCGUACGUAGGCGGAUGCGCAAGUUGGGGGUGAAAUCCCGGGGCUUAACCUCGGAAUUGCCCUCAAAACUGCACGUCUUGAGACCGAGAGAGGUAAGGGGAAUUCCUAGUGUAGAGGUGAAAUCCGUAGAUAUUAGGAAGAACACCAGUGGCGAAGGCGCCUUACUGGCUCGGUACUGACGCUGAGGUACGAAAGCGUGGGGAGCAAACA
rnacentral:rRNA from 1 species